rnacentral:rRNA from 1 species
UACCAGCACCCCGAGUGGUCGGGACGAUUAUUGGGCCUAAAGCAUCCGUAGCUUGUUCUGCAAGUCCUCCGUUAAAUCCACCUGCUCAACAGAUGGGCUGCGGGGGAUACUACAGGGCUAGGAGGCGGGAGAGGCAAACGGUACUCAGUGGGUAGGGGUAAAAUCCGCUGAUCCAUAGAAGACCGCCAGUGGCGAAGGCGGCUUGCCAGAACGCGCUCGACGGUGAGGGAUGAAAGCUGGGGGAGCAAACCGG